rnacentral:rRNA from 1 species
GUACACCUACGGGGGGCAGCAGUGAGGAAUAUUGGUCAAUGGGCGGGAGCCUGAACCAGCCAAGUCGCGUGAGGGAUGACGGCCCUAUGGGUUGUAAACCUCUUUUGCCGGGGAGCAAAGUGCCGCACGUGUGCGGUUUGGAGAGUACCCAGAGAAAAAGCAUCGGCUAACUCCGUGCCAGCAGCCGCGGUAAUACGGAGGAUUCAAGCGUUAUCCGGAUUUAUUGGGUUUAAAGGGUGCGUAGGCGGUUCGAUAAGUUAGAGGUGAAAUCCCGGGGCUCAACUCCGGCACUGCCUCUGAUACUG